rnacentral:rRNA from 1 species
UACGUAGGGGGCAAGCGUUGUCCGGAUUUAUUGGGCGUAAAGCGCUCGCAGGUGGUUCGUCGCGUCGUGCGUGAAAGACCCCGGCUCAACUGGGGGAGGUCGUGCGAUACGGGCGGACUGGAGGCCAGUAGGGGGAUGCGGAAUUCCGGGUGUAGUGGUGGAAUGCGUAGAGAUCCGGAGGAACACCAGCGGCGAAGGCGGCAUCCUGGACUGGUCCUGACACUCAUGAGCGAAAGCGUGGGAGCGAUCCGG